UGGUGCAAUGCACUUUUCGGUUAACAAGUCAACAUCAAUUUCUUUUGUUGUAAAAGGGUAAUUGGAAGGUGGCUUUCUUUUCGGAGAAAGUGUUUAUAGCCUUUUACCUCUACAAUCGGAGAGAUUGAGGUCUGCAGCGUAGAUCCUUCGGGGUUAGAUACAUUUGUGCUAAGUUAUAGCCCUGUAUAGACAACUUGUUGACUAUACUCGGUCAUGUAGCUUACUCGCUUAUGCUAUUUUACCUACGCUUAGGAUGUUGACAAAAUGGUUUUAAACGA
rnacentral:rRNA from 1 species